CGACCCCGGACUCCGCCCGCGCGGCCCGCGGGGACCCGCGCACCGGCUCCUGGCCAGUGGGCUCGCGAAAAUUGUUCGGGCCCAGCCGACCUGUUGCCUCACGGUGGCCAAAGGCGGUAGCCGGGAAGGAGGACUUCUGCCGCAGCGGCUGCAUUUCCCGGGCCCUGCACGGAAAGGCCUUGGUCUUUGUGCAUGGUUUCCUGCUUCUUUGGCUUUAUCAAGAGUCAGGUUCCUGGUCCAGCGGCUGCCUGCAGAGCAGCAAAGUGAAGGGCCUGCCCAGGAGAACGCUUCCUGACAGAGGCCCCACAUGGGCCAGGCACAGAGGGCUGCCCAUUGGAACCCAGGUCCUGGAUGAAGAUCUUGGCCAGCCCAGCCCUAAAAUCAAAGGCGAGAAGGCUGCUGUCAUUCGCUCCCUGAGGUUUCCCACAGCCUGGGCCUGCUGACUCUUCCUUGGGCGAAACCUCCCCAAGCGCCAGGACCUGU